rnacentral:tRNA from 1 species
GGAGUAUUGUUCAGUGGUAGAGUGUAUGCUUAGCAUGCACAAGAUCCUGGGUUGAAUCCCCAGUACCUCCA